UGCCACAGUCAUAUCACUCUGCAGCCCAAGACUGGUUACUCACUGAAGCUAAGCAGGGCUGAGCUUGGUCAGUACCUGGAUGGGAGACUACAUGGGAAAGCUAGGUUGCUGUUGGAA
rnacentral:rRNA from 1 species